GUGGGGAAUUUUGGACAAUGGGGGCAACCCUGAUCCAGCCAUGCCGCGUGCGGGAAGAAGGCCUUCGGGUUGUAAACCGCUUUUGUCAGGGAAGAAAUCCUUUGGGUUAAUACCUCGGAGGGAUGACGGUACCUGAAGAAUAAGCACCGGCUAACUACGUGCCAGCAGCCGCGGUAAUACGUAGGGUGCGAGCGUUAAUCGGAAUUACUGGGCGUAAAGCGUGCGCAGGCGGUUUUGUAAGAUCGAUGUGAAAUCCCCGGGCUCAACCUGGGAACUGCAUUGGUGACUGCAAGGCUGGAGUGCGGCAGAGGGGGAUGGAAUUCCGCGUGUAGCAGUGAAAUGCGUAGAUAUGCGGAGGAACACCGAUGGCGAAGGCAAUCCCCUGGGCCUGCACUGACGCUCAUGCACGAAAGCGUGGGGAGCAAACAGGAUUAGAAACCCCGGUAGUAC
rnacentral:rRNA from 1 species